GCAAGUUGGCUUGGCAUUGUGAAGUCAAGGAAUGGAAUUUAAGAAGGAUACUUCCUAUCCGGUUUCUCACCGCACUACGAUAUACUUAUAAAUAGGAUUCAUUCAUAUAAACCAAACCUCACCGCACAGAUCAAAUCUAACUUCUCUUUUCUCUCUAUAAUUCUCAACAAAUAAUGGUAAAGCACCACCUUGCAGCGAGGCUACUACUAAUUAUUUAUCUGCUGAUUAUUAUGUUAUCGUGUUCAUCAAUAUUUGCAGCUAGGCCUUUGAAUGACGAAAUUGCCCUUGCGCUUCCAAGCGACAACAGGGUGGAGAAGGAAUACAGAGUGGGGUGCGGUGGUAAAUAUGGAGGGGCAUUCAUCUUCAACAUGCUUCCUAAGGGGACAGUACCACCAUCUGGACCAAGCAAAGGAACCAACAACCUCAACAACUAGUAUGCAACUCAAUUCAACACAUUCAGUUGCUCGUCUCAAUCAAUUUUUUAUUUAAAUUUCUUUAUUUUUCUUGAUGUUACUUCUUCUUCUUCUUUAAUUAUUUUUUAUUUUUAUUUUUUGUAUUUUUUUAUAAGAUAUCGACAUAUCUUAUGUUGAGUUAUAACUUCAUAAUUAUUUUCUGUAUUUUAUAUCAUAAUAAAUUAAUAUUGUUGAUUUAAGUUCAUUAAUAAGAGAUUUUUUUUUUGGAAUAAUAUUGAUAAUAAAAAUACAAAUUUAUCUGAUUAAUUACAUAAACAUUUAAUUAAUAUAAAAUAAUUAAUUAACUAAAAUAACUAAUUAACUAACUAAGCAAAACAUGUAACAUAUCAUAAAGACAAAUGGAUGGUACAUACAACUCCAAACAAAUGAAUGUGAAGUUUUAAAUUUGUUGCAUGCUCUACAUUGAAUAUUAAUUUCGGCUCUUA
rnacentral:lncRNA from 1 species